GCCAGUGCCGCGGAGGGGGCCCUGGAGCAAAGGGCCAAGGGGGGAUAAAAAAAAAAAAAAACGGUGUGCGGAAGGUAAUGCCAAGUUUCAAGGGUUGUGAGAAGUUUGUGGGCUGGAAAGGUCAUCAAUGCAGUCCUUGCCUUAAUGAGACACCUGGGACUUCCCUCUUUGCCCUGAAUCACUGUCACAGCAGAGUAUUCAGGCAUAUAUGCACCUCUUGUUGGAGAUUACUGCUGUAGAAUCUGAAUGUAGAUGGAAAAGGAGCUCAAAAGAUUUGCUU